CCGCUCUAGAGUUUGAUCCUGGCUCAGGACGAACGCUGGCGGCGGCCUAAUACAUGCAAGUCGAGCGGACAGAAGGGAGCUUGCUCCCGGAUGUUAGCGGCGGACGGGUGAGUAACACGUGGGUAACCUGCCUGUAAGACUGGGAUAACUCCGGGAAACCGGAGCUAAUACGGAUAGUUCCUUGAACCGCAUGGUUCAAGGAUGAAAGACGGUUUCGGCUGUCACUUACAGAUGGACCCGCGGCGCAUUAGCUAGUUGGUGGGGUAAUGGCUCACCAAGGCGACGAUGCGUAGCCGACUGAGAGGGUGAUCGGCCACACUGGGACUGAGACACGGCCCAGACUCCUACGGGAGGCAGCAGUAGGGAAUCUUCCGCAAUGGACGAAAGUCUGACGGAGCAACGCCGCGUGAGUGAUGAAGGUUUUCGAUCGUAAAGCUCUGUUGUUAGGGAAGAACAAGUGCGAGAGUAACUGCUCGCACCUGACGUACCUAACCAGAAAGCCACGGCUAACUACGUGCCAGCAGCCGCGGUAAUACGUAGGUGGCAAGCGUUUCCGGAAUUAUUGGGCGUAAAGGGCUCGCAGGCGGUUUCUUAAGUCUGAUGUGAAAGCCCCCGGCUCAACCGGGGAGGGUCAUUGGAAACUGGGAAACUUGAGUGCAGAAGAGGAGAGUGGAAUUCCCGUGUAGCGGUGAAAUGCGUAGAGAUGUGGAGGAACACCAGUGGCGAAGGCGACUCUCUGGUCUGUAACUGACGCUGAGGAGCGAAAGCGUGGGGAGCGAACAGGAUUAGAUACCCUGGUAGUCCACCCGUAAACGAUGAGUGCUAAGUGUUAGGGGGUUCCGCCCCUUAGUGCUGCAGCUAACGCAUUAAGCACUCCGCCUGGGGAGUACGGUCGCAAGACUGAAACUCAAAGGAAUUGACGGGGGCCCGCACAGCGGUGGAGCAUGUGGUUUAAUUCGAAGCAACGCGAAGAACCUUACCAGGUCUUGACAUCCUCUGACAACCCUAGAGAUAGGGCUUUCCCUUCGGGGACAGAGUGACAGGUGGUGCAUGGUUGUCGCAGCUCGUGUCGUGAGAUGUUGGGUUAAGUCCCGCAACGAGCGCAACCCUUGAUCUUAGUUGCCAGCAUUCAGUUGGGCACUCUAAGGUGACUGCCGGUGACAAACCGGAGGAAGGUGGGGAUGACG
rnacentral:rRNA from 1 species